rfam:Nicotiana attenuata strain TT chromosome 10, whole genome shotgun sequence.
UCACUCACACAUAGUACGAAAUAUUUUGGGGAGUUGAAAAUCAGCAUAGAUCCUGAAAUUUUUGAAUAGGGCAAUCUUUCGAACUGCUUUUGAUCCAUAGGCAGCCAAGAGAAAACCAGGCGAACUGAAAGAUCUUAUUAGCAAGAGGAAAAGAAAGCAAAUGCGAUUCUCAUAGUAGCGGCAGGCAAAAUGGGAGCUGCCUAAAUCGUGAAAACGAGGUUGUGGGAGAGCAAUACAAGCGCCGUACAGCUAGGUGAAGAAGCGGCCCAAAUACUGCACCCUAGAUGGCGAAAAUCCAGUAGCCGAAAGCAUCACUAACUUAGGCUCUGAUCGCGUGCCUGUUGAAGAAUGAGCCGUCGACUCCGGGCAAUGGCUUGAU